rnacentral:rRNA from 1 species
GAUGAACGCUGGCGGCGUGCUUAACACAUGCAAGUCGAACGAUCGCAAGAUAGUGGCGCACGGGUGAGGAACACGUAGCUAACCUGCCUUUGGGUCUGGGAUAACGUCGCGAAAGUGACGCUAAGACCGGAUAAGCUCCCGGGUUGUAGAGACCCGAGAGAAAAGGGGCAAGACGCCUGAAGAGGGGGCUGCGGCGCAUCAGCUAGUUGGUGGGGUAAAGGCCUACCAAGGCAACGACGCGUAAGGGGUCUGAGAGGAUGAUCCCUCACACUGGGACUGAGACACGGCCCAGACUCCUACGGGAGGCAGCAGUGAGGAAUAUUGCACAAUGGGGGCAACCCUGAUGCAGCGACGCCGCGUGGGUGAUGACGGCCUUCGGUUGUAAGCCUUUGUCCACUGACGAGAACGGACGGUAGGUGGCGAAUAAGACCUCGGCGUAACUACGUGCCAGCAGCCGCGGUAAGUCUGUAGUCGU